rnacentral:rRNA from 1 species
UACGUAGGUGGCAAGCGUUGUCCGGAAUUAUUGGGCGUAAAGCGCGCGCAGGCGGUCCUUUAAGUCUGAUGUGAAAGCCCACGGCUCAACCGUGGAGGGUCAUUGGAAACUGGGGGACUUGAGUGCAGAAGAGGAGAGUGGAAUUCCACGUGUAGCGGUGAAAUGCGUAGAGAUGUGGAGGAACACCAGUGGCGAAGGCGACUUUCUGGUCUGUAACUGACACUGAGGCGCGAAAGCGUGGGGAGCAAACAGG